UACGUAGGGGGCUAGUGUUAUCCGGAUUUAUUGGGUUUAAAGGGUGCGUAGGCGGACUGUCAAGUCAGCGGUAAAAUUGAGAGGCUCAACCUCUUCCCGCCGUUGAAACUGGUGGUCUUGAGUGGAUGAGAAGUACGCGGAAUGCGUGGUGUAGCGGUGAAAUGCAUAGAUAUCACGCAGAACUCCGAUUGCGAAGGCAGCGUACCGGCAUCCAACUGACGCUGAGGCACGAAAGCGUGGGGAUCAAACAGG
rnacentral:rRNA from 1 species